UACGAGGGGGGCAAAUGUUGUUCGGAAUCACUGGGCGUAAAGGGAGCGUAGGCGGGUUCUUAAGUAAGGUGUUUAAUCCCGGGGCCCAACCCCGGACCGGCACUUUAAACUGGGAAUCUUGAAUAGUGGAGAGGUCGGUGGAAUUGGGGGUGUAGCGGUGGAAUGCGUAGAGAUGGGGGAGAACACUCGUGGCGAAGGCGGCCAGCUAGACCAGUUCUGACACUGAGGCGCGACAGCGUGGGGAGCAAACAGG
rnacentral:rRNA from 1 species